UGGGGAAUAUUGCGCAAUGGGCGAAAGCCUGACGCAGCAACGCCGCGUGGGUGAUGAAGGCCUUCGGGUUGUAAAGCCCUGUCGCCCGGGACGAAUAAGUCUGUGAAGAGCAGACCCUGACGGUACCGGGAGAGGAAGCACCGGCUAACUCUGUGCCAGCAGCCGCGGUAAUACAGAGGGUGCCAGCGUUGUUCGGAAUUAUUGGGCGUAAAGGGCGCGUAGGCGGCUCGGUAUGUCGGGUGUGAAAGCCCACCUCUUAAAGGUGGAAUUGCAUUCGAAACUACCGAGCUAGAGUAUCGGAGAGGAUGGUGGAAUUCCUGGUGUAGAGGUGAAAUUCGUAGAUAUCAGGAGGAACACCGGUGGCGAAGGCGGCCAUCUGGACGAAUACUGACGCUGAGGCGCGAAAGCGUGGGGAUCAAACAGGAUUAGAUACCCCCGUAGUCC
rnacentral:rRNA from 1 species